UUAAUGAUAGAUGACAUGCAACCAAAAUUAGAUGAGCUUUCCGAGGAUAUCAUGCAAUUAGAUAUUGGAGAAUGUAUGCCAACACAAGUAUGAAUCUCUCAUACUGUGAUGCGGUAGCUGAAGAGAAGCAGCUAGGGGGUGACCUUCAAAUGCAUGAGAGAUGAUGUCAUUACUUAUAAACAUGGUUGUUGCUGCUAAGCAGCUGCGCAAGGAGUUGAGCAGUGCCAAAUGAACAAAUAGAGAGAGAAAUGUUUAUUUUGUUGCCUAUUUUAAUAACUUGGGAUUCUGUUAUGUUGAUUGGUAUUUUAGAUUUGUUGAGGGAAGUGUAAGAGGAUAUUUAGAGUGAGUACUUGUUUUCAUUGAGAGUAAGCUAAGUUUCUGUAGGCAUAUAUGCUUUGAUUGUUUUUUUAUUUAGGUAAUGUAUGGAUGCUAGUGAUGAUUAUAUAGAGAGCUAUGAUUGUUUUUUUUUAUUUAGGUAAUGUAUGGAUGCUAGUGAUGCUUUUUAA